rnacentral:tRNA from 1 species
CAGAAAAUAGUUUAAUAAAAUAUUAAUUUUGGAGAUUAAAGAUAGAGAGGUUCUCUUUUUCUGA